UCAGAGCCGGCAGCCAGCCAAUCAGGCUCCUGCUAAUCAGACAUGCUGAAUAACAAAGCCAGGGGGACAGAGAAAGUGUAACAGUGCGAGCGAGAAAGGGAGGAAAGGACGAAAAAGAAAGGAGAGCGGAGGAGCGCGCGCAGCAGAACCAGAAGAGAAAUGCAAACGAUGCAGAAUUGCAAAAGAUGAAGCAGAGCCCUGUGCUGUUAACUAACCUGCCCUCAGCCAUAUGUUGAAUGCUCAGAGGACGCCUGCCACAAUGUGUCAAGCUUCUGGUCCCUUUGUGAGUAGCGUUUCCCUUCCAGAGAAAUGAGGAAAAGGAACUGUACAGUCAAGCAUUAUACCCUGCAGUGCAAACUCCCUGCUGGCUGUAAUUUCAGAAAAAGAAGAACAGAAUCAAGUUGCGUUAUGGUGAUUGGGGUAAGCCAAUGUUGGAGGAGCAUAGAUUUUGGAAUCAGAAAGACCUGAGUUCAAAUCCCAUCUCCACCACUGAGCAGCUACAUGAACUUGGGAAAGUUCAUUGGUCUCUCUGAACUCCUACUUUUUUGUCCGUAAAAGGGAAAUAUUACCUGUUAGCUCAAAAGAUCAAGGACUGCAUGAAGAUGAAAUGUGAUGGUAAUGUAAUGUGCUUAGCACACUGCCUGGCAUUCAUUCAAUGAGACGUGAUGAAGCGUCUGGGAGCCAGGGGACUCAGGAUACAGUUGCAAACAAAGUACAAUGUGUAUUUCCCAAGGGUCCUCCCCAACAAACCUUCUGCAGGU